ACACUCUGCUACAAUGUAAAGUAGUAAGUGUACAGCCUUUUGUUGCCAACGGUAUAGACAUUAAUGGCUGUGUGUUGAGUUAUUUUGAGGGGACAGCAAAUUUACACAGUUAUACAGGCUGUACACUUACUACUUUACAUUGCAGCAGAGUGU